AUUGAACGCUGGCGGCAUGCCUUACACAUGCAAGUCGAACGGUAACAGGUCUUCGGAUGCUGACGAGUGGCGAACGGGUGAGUAAUACAUCGGAACGUGCCUAGUAGUGGGGGAUAACUACUCGAAAGAGUGGCUAAUACCGCAUGAGAUCUACGGAUGAAAGCAGGGGAUCGCAAGACCUUGUGCUACUAGAGCGGCCGAUGGCGGAUUAGGUAGUUGGUGGGAUAAAAGCUUACCAAGCCGACGAUCUGUAGCUGGUCUGAGAGGACGAUCAGCCACACUGGGACUGAGACACGGCCCAGACUCCUACGGGAGGCAGCAGUGGGGAAUUUUGGACAAUGGGCGCAAGCCUGAUCCAGCAAUGCCGCGUGCAGGAUGAAGGCCUUCGGGUUGUAAACUGCCUUUGUACGGAACGAAAAGCCCUGGGUUAAUACCCUGGGGUCAUGACGGUACCGUAAGAAUAAGCACCGGCUAACUACGUGCCAGCAGCCGCCGUAAGAC
rnacentral:rRNA from 1 species